UCACACUCUUGCACAAAAGGAGUUGUGCACUCGUUUCUUGGAGAGGAAUUCACACCUUAGAAAAGAAUACAAAAAAUAAGAUAGAUCUGGAGAGAAAGAAAAAUUGAAAAAGCAAAACGAAGAAGCCUUCCCCUUUCUUCUUCACUGAAAAUAGCCGUCCCUGCCUCUCCUUCCUCAAGAGAAAUACAUGGAAGUUUCAUAUUAAACUCAAUCACAAGAUCAUGUAGCUAAUCCACCACCCAAACACCUCCAUUUUCUCCUUAAUUAGGCACCAUUGUUACCCCAUUUUUAAACCAUAAAAUACAGCCUUGAAGUACCCUGUUUCCAUCGCUUUUUCUCCAGAUCUUAACCUUUUAAACACCCCAAAAAUACAGUAACAGCAGUUGCAGAAAACCAGCAAAAAAUCAGCUCCAAAACCCAAGUAAAACCUCCAUUAAAAUAGUCCCAAAACCAGAUUCUUCCAUCACUAAAAGAGCUGCAAUUUAAGCUCCAUCUUCAGCCCAUGAACUUCAAAUUUUAACCACUAAAAACUCGGAAAAAUCAGCCCCAAAAUCUACCUCAAACCAACCCUUCCAAACCACCAAACAGUCCAGGCAUGAAUCGCCCAAAGACACCUCGAAAAGCAGGCCAAAAACGCAGCUGAAAACAGCCGCAAAUUAGCUGAAGAACCAGCUAAAAAAUAGUCCCCGAACAACCCCAAAAACCACCCCAAACCACCACCAUUUUUAGCUCCAAACUCCAGCCAAAACACCACCCAAAACAGCCCAAUAAUACCUCAAAAUAGUCCAAGGUUGAUCGAGGUUGCGAGUCCCGAUUUUUCGUUCGAGGUCCCGUUGCUGGUCCGAGGUUCCAGUCAGUACCUCAUUUGACUGUCGCUUCUUUGUAAGCAGCAAAAAGACUUGCAAAUGAGCUCAAUAGGUCUUAGUGUCAGACCAAGAAGGUACACAAGAUGUGAAUAUGUUGAUGUUUCGAGCAACAAGCAAUGAGCAAAAUCUCCAUGCAAAAUACGGACUUGCUGUAGAGAGAUCAUCAUAUGAAAGUACCCAUUUCCCAAAAGUUGUGUAUACUCAAAUUUUUGAUAUCCAUGAAGCUUACCCAAGGUGCUCACAUAAUGAUGGAACUUUUGAGGGCGAGGUACAUGCUCAUGUAUGGGAACUUCAAAUAGAAGAAGUGGACCAAGAGCCUAUGAUUCAACAACAAAACACAUAGUUAAGGGAUUAUGGAAGCUGCUAUAUGCCAUGAGCAUGCCAUCAAGGAUGAUCCAUCAUAUGGAGAAGUCACGAAUGAGUUGGAAACCGUACUUAUCUUUCGUUCAUCUACACGACUUUAUAUUCAUUGUAUAGGAUGAUUCUCAUUCUGCUUUUUAUCAUUGAUGUACAUAACCUUUUCAAUAUUGAAACAAUAAAAUGGCUUUUAUGCUUUGGUACCAAA